AUUGAACGCUGGCGGCAGGCCUAACACAUGCAAGUCGAACGGUAGCACAGAGAGCUUGCUCUUGGGUGACGAGUGGCGGACGGGUGAGUAAUGUCUGGGAAACUGCCUGAUGGCGGGGGAUAACUACUGGAAACGGUAGCUAAUACCGCAUAAUGUCGAAAGACCAAAGAGGGGGACCUUCGGGCCUCUUGCCAUCAGAUGUGCCCAGAUGGGAUUAGCUAGUAGGUGGGGUAAUGGCUCACCUAGGCGACGAUCCCUAGCUGGUCUGAGAGGAUGACCAGCCACACUGGAACUGAGACACGGUCCAGGCGCCUACGGGAGGCAGCAGUGGGGAAUAUUGCACAAUGGGCGCAAGCCUGAUGCAGCCAUGCCGCGUGUAUGAAGAAGGCCUUCGGGUUGUAAAGUACUUUCAGCGAGGAGGAAGGCAUCAAGGUUAAUAACCUUGGUGAUUGACGUUACUCGCAGAAGAAGCACCGGCUAACUCCGUGCCAGCCGCCGCGGUAAAAC
rnacentral:rRNA from 1 species